GCAUGAUCUGGGUCCUGAUCUGACAAUUGAGAAGCAAGCGGGCAUGAUCUGAGGCUUUGUUUGUGCGAGCGAUGAAGAUCCGAUGGCUAGAAGAUUUUUUGAGGUUUAAUCGGAGUGCAUUUCCGAUCAGGGCUCAGAUUCAGGUCUUUAAAAGGUCUAUGGACAGAUCGAGAGGUAUCGGUGUAGUGUGUUCGGCAGAACCUAAAAUACGCCAGCAGCAGUCGAGAGAGGGAGUUCGACGGCAGACCUUGGAGAGACACUGACAGAGAGCAGAAGUAGAG
rnacentral:lncRNA from 1 species